UAUUCAGCAGGUUUCAUUCGACUUUUGAAGCAAAAUAUGUAAGUUCUACAGGGUGAUGCAAAACCUUUGCUCAUAGUAGAUGAACCACACUGGCUAUAGCACCAGUGAUAUGAAACAGCAGCCUAGGGUCAAUACUGUAACCUCACAAAACAUGAAUGUAACAUAAAGAUUGUGCAAUAUAAGAACUACACAAGCAUUUUAGAGAAGAUGAGCUGGGUUUAGUCACUUUCAGCAACUGAUAUUAAAAGAGUUCCUCAUUGGCUAAAAAAAAACCAGAGAGUUGAUAAGGGCAGGCCUGGUAUUGAGCGCAUCAUAAUAUGCAAAUGAAGCAGCAGCACUAUAAGGCAGGUUUGGAAAGUGCUGCUUGCAAUGUGUCCAGGAGCCAGCGGGAGUGUGAAGGUGCAGCACAUUGUAAAAGUGUCAUUAAGCUGCCAUUAACACCUUUUAAAGGAAGACUACAAAAACAGAACGAGGGGCACAGUGUGUUUGCGGUAUCAUUGUGUUCUGGAUAGGAUAUCAUCUUAUACUGUAAGUUUGCUAUAUCGACACUACAGUAUAGAUGAUGUACUACCCAGGGCUUCAUUCCCCAGCGUCAGGGCAGCACAGUGCGGAGGAGACGGAGCGAGAGGCGGCGAUGAUCUCGGGGGGGUUGCGAUCAAACCGUUACCAUUACUGAGCUUUAGUGAUGGUAACACACAGGAGGAAUUCUUUAUACAUUUGAAAAAGCUAUGUUAUAAAAAAUACAUAUAACUAAGCAUAACCGACAGUGGCAUUGAAACACAUUAUUAAGUUAUUUAAUUGAUGUCUGUUUAAAAAAUAAAAAUCUUGAACCCGGACAACAAAAUAAUAAAGUUUCAUAUUUCAAUAA